AACACACACACUAAUUUGUGCUGCACACACACUAAAACACAUUAGAAACACACACACACUUCACGUUAACACCAUUUCUUUGGUGUUCAAGCUUUUGACUUCCGAUUUGAGCACCGAGACGAGCGCCGAUCAUCUUUUCGAUCACGUAUCUAAGUAGGUCCUUUUGGGAAGUAACGACUUGAGGGAGAGAGUGACGUUACUCAUUGAUACAGAGACACAACGAGGUUGAGCUGAUGUGAUGAUGGUGCUGCAAUGAGCGGAGUCUCCAGGGUUGUUAAUAAAUAGUUAACCUGUCUAGAAUAUGUCUUCAUACAUAUGUCUAGCUACUUUCCGCUGCAAGAUGUUGUUGAUGUUAUAGUAUGUUAUGUCAUACUUUGAGUCUUAAGAGAAUGGUUUCAUAUGAUGUAUAACUUGAUUAAUGAUAUUAAUUAACUUUUAUGCAGUCUUUCAUAGACUGUUUUCAAUUGAGUAUUAAUGAAUAAAAAUGACGAGUUUUAUUAA